UACGUAGGGUGCGAGCGUUGUCCGGAAUUAUUGGGCGUAAAGAGCUCGUAGGCGGCUUGUCGCGUCGGAUGUGAAAGCCCGGGGCUUAACCCCGGGUCUGCAUUCGAUACGGGCUGGCUAGAGUGUGGUAGGGGAGAUCGGAAUUCCUGGUGUAGCGGUGAAAUGCGCAGAUAUCAGGAGGAACACCGGUGGCGAAGGCGGAUCUCUGGGCCAUUACUGACGCUGAGGAGCGAAAGCGUGGGGAGCGAACAGG
rnacentral:rRNA from 1 species